GAUAAGACUACUAAGAUACCUACCCUAGUAUACAUAUGAUGUGCAUGGCCCAUUUGAUGAGCCAGACAAGGAGGUUAUCACUACUUCAUCACCUUUAUCGAUACAGUCAUGGUAUAGGUAUAUGUAUGUGAGAUACAAAUCUGAAAGACUUUGAAAGGUUCAAAGAAUUCAGAUGUGAAGUAGAAAAGUAAAUUGAAAAAACUCUAAAGGUCCU
rnacentral:lncRNA from 1 species